UACGUAGGGGGCAAGCGUUGUUCGGAUUCAUUGGGCGUAAAGGGUGCGUAGGCGGCGCGGUAAGUCGGGUGUGAAAUCUCGGGGCUUAACUCCGAAACUGCAUUCGAUACUGCCGUGCUUGAGGACUGGAGAGGAGACUGGAAUUUACGGUGUAGCGGUGAAAUGCGUAGAUAUCGGGAGGAACACCGGUGGCGAAGGCGGGUCUCUGGGCCGAUACUGACGCUGAGGAGCGAAAGCGUGGGGAGCGAACAGG
rnacentral:rRNA from 1 species